CCUACGGGAGGCUGCAGUGGGGAAUAUUGCGCAAUGGGCGAGAGCCUGACGCAGCGACGCCGCGUGGGUGAUGAAGGCCUUCGGGUUGUAAAGCCCUGUCGGGUGGAACGAACGAUCUGGCGGCGAAUAACCGCCGGGUGUGACGGUACCACCGAAGGAAGCCCCGGCUAACUACGUGCCAGCAGCCGCGGUAAGAAGUAGGGGGCGAGCGUUGUUCGGAUUGGCGGCGCGUAAAGUCCGCGUUGAAAGCCCUCGGCUUAACCGAGGUCCCGCAUCCGAUACUGUCUGGCUCGAGUCUAGGAGAGGAAAGCGGAAUUCCCAGUGUAGCGGUGAAAUGCGUAGAUAUUGGGAGGAACACCGGUGGCGAAGGCGGCUUUCCGGACUAGUACUGACGCUGAGGCGCGAAAGCUAGGGGAGCGAACGGGAUUAGAUACCCCUGUAGUC
rnacentral:rRNA from 1 species